rnacentral:rRNA from 1 species
GAUGAACGCUGGCGGCGUGCCUAAUACAUGCAAGUCGAGCGAACAGACGAGGAGCUUGCUCCUCUGACGUUAGCGGCGGACGGGUGAGUAACAUGUGGAUAAUCUCCCUAUAAGACUGGGAUAACUUCGGGAAACCGGAUCUAAUACCGGAUAAUAUAUUGCACCGCAUGGUUCAAUAGUAAAAGACGGUUUUUCUGGAUCUUAUAGAUGGUUCCGCGCCGUAUUAGCUAGUUGUUAGGGUAACGGCUUAUCGGGGCGACGAUGCGUAGCCGACCGGUGAGGGGGAUCGGCGACCCGAGAACGGAACCACGGUCAAGACUCCUACGGGAGGCAGCAGUAGGGAAUGUGCCGCAAUGGGCGAAAGUCUGACGGAGCAACGGCGCGUGAGAGAUGAAGGCCUUCGGAUCGUAAAACUCUGUUAUUAGGGAAGAACAAAUGUGUAAGUAACUAUGCACGUAUUGACGGUACCUAAUCAGAAAGCAACGGCUAACUACGUG